GAGACUCUGCUUUCAGGCAUCACGUCUGUAAUUGGCUACUGGAGAAGCUUCUCUGGCCGUGUAGGCCACGAGGGGGAGAUGCAGCGUUCCCCCCGAGCGUGGAGCGGCCCUUGGCGUUGCCGCUCCAGCGGCCACUAGCCUUUGACGAUCAUUUCUUCCCUUCCUUUGGGAGGGUAAGAGGGAGGGACUGCUGUCUGAGUGGG
rnacentral:snoRNA from 1 species